CCUACGGGGGGCAGCAGUGGGGAAUAUUGCACAAUGGGCGCAAGCCUGAUGCAGCGACGCCGCGUGAGGGAUGACGGCCUUCGGGUUGUAAACCUCUGUUAGCAGGGAAGAAGAGAGAUUGACGGUACCUGCAGAGAAAGCGCCGGCUAACUACGUGCCAGCAGCCGCGGUAAUACGUAGGGCGCGAGCGUUGUCCGGAAUUAUUGGGCGUAAAGAGCUUGUAGGCGGUUUGUCGCGUCUGCUGUGAAAGGCCGGAGCUUAACUCCGUGUAUUGCAGUGGGUACGGGCAGACUAGAGUGCAGUAGGGGAGACUGGAAUUCCUGGUGUAGCGGUGGAAUGCGCAGAUAUCAGGAGGAACACCGAUGGCGAAGGCAGGUCUCUGGGCUGUAACUGACGCUGAGAAGCGAAAGCAUGGGGAGCGAACAGGAUUAGAUACCCGGGUAGUC
rnacentral:rRNA from 1 species